rnacentral:lncRNA from 1 species
CACGCCAGCCAUCUAUCAGGGUGGUUCGCCUUUCAUUACAGAGAGAAGCUUCUGGGAGGUUGCCAGCCACGUCAUGUUGGUCGCCCUACACCUAUUAACACUGUCAAAUGCUAGCGAUUGGUCAGCAUGGCAUAUGCUGCGGUAUCUCUGUCGAAGAGCAGCGCAUGAUGGAGAAGCACUGAUUACCUUUAAACUCAUCAGCGCCCAUACUCUCGUCCAUAAACAUCUCUCCCAUUCUCUAUCCCUCAUUUCCGUCAAUGUGUCAGUCCAUUCAUCUGAAUAUCAAAAAGGGACAACCGAAC